AACGAACGCUGGCGGCAUGCCUAACACAUGCAAGUCGAACGAGGCCUUCGGGUCUAGUGGCGCACUGGUGCGUAACGCGUGGGAACCUGCCCUUAGGUUCGGAAUAACUCCCCGAAAGGGGUGCUAAUACCGGAUAAUGUCUUCGGACCAAAGAUUUAUCGCCUUUGGAUGGGCCCGCGUUGGAUUAGCUAGUUGGUAGGGUAAAAGCCUACCAAGGCGACGAUCCAUAGCUGGUCUGAGAGGAUGAUCAGCCACACUGGGACUGAGACACGGCCCAGACUCCUACGGGAGGCAGCAGUGGGGAAUAUUGGACAAUGGGCGAAAGCCUGAUCCAGCAAUGCCGCGUGAGUGAUGAAGGCCUUAGGGUUGUAAAGCUCUUUUACCCGGGAUGAUAAUGACAGUACCGGGAGAAUAAGCUCCGGCUAACUCCGUG
rnacentral:rRNA from 1 species